AGAGUUUGAUCAUGGCUCAGAUUGAACGCUGGCGGCAUGCGUAACACAUGCAAGUCGAACGGGGAUGUGUGCGUGCAUACAUUCGAGUGGCGGACGGGUGAGUAGUGCGUAGGAAUCUGUCUUAGAGAGGGGGAUAACCCGAGGAAACUUGGGCUAACACCGCAUGAACUCGGAAGAGAAAAGCAGGGGACCUGAAAGGG
rnacentral:rRNA from 1 species